rnacentral:tRNA from 1 species
UUGGGAGUGUAGCUCAGUGGUAUAGCUUGUUCCUAUCAUGCAGAAGUUCUUGGGUUCACUCCCCAAUCCCCAAA